rnacentral:lncRNA from 1 species
AUGCCUCUGACUGACCUUCUGAAAAAGGAUGCGCCUUUUGAGUGGACAGCGCAGCAGCAACAGGCCAUGGAUGACCUGAAGGUUGUGCUAUGCUCAGCUCCGUGCCUGGCACUUCCUGAUUGUGACAAAGAGUUCCACUUUGAGGUCAGGUUCUCAUCUAAUUGCUUGAGUGCCGGUCUCUAUCAGGUAUACAACUGCGACAGGCGUGUCGUAGCAUACGCCAGUAAGCACUUGUCCGGUCCUGAGUUAAAAUACUCUGACUGUGAAAAAGAUUUGCUUUCCACCAUGUGGGCAGUUAAACACUUUUCCAGCUACAUUGGUGGACAGAAAAUCACCACUGAAACUCAACAUCAGCCAGUGACCUUCCUUAACAGUCAACGCAUCAGAGAUGGUGUGGUGACCAAUGCACACAUUGCUUCAUGGCUGCUUGCUCUUCAGAGCUUCGACAUUGAAGUACGCUACGAGCAGAACCGCCAUAGUCAUCUUGGCAUGGGUCUGGCUGCCUGCCAGCAUAACUCGGACAAUGCUGUCGCGUUGGUCCUACUGGCUAACCCUCCCCAGACUCUGCUGAACCCCAACCACCACUACUUCAACCAGGCUAUCUGUGUGGACUUGCCAACAGUGUACGUUGAUGGCAGUUCCUUUCGACAUGGUGCUGAACCUCGUUUAGGCGUGGGUGUUGUUUGGCUACACGCUAAUCGGAAAGACUCUGAGUGUUACCAGUUGGGUCCUAAGACCUCACAGUUUGCAGAAGUGGCUGGGAUCUUGAUAGUGCUACAACUCGCUGCUGACCGUGGUGUUCGUAAGCUGGUGAUCUGCACAGCCUCGGACUAUGCGCGUCUCAGUUUCAUUUGUCAUCUACCUUCUUGGAAAAGUAACAUGUUCUUAACCUCUAACUGGAAGCCCGUUAAACAUCAGGAUCUUUUCAUGGCAUGUGAUACCUUAGCGACAUCACAUGACAUGCAGAUCUAUUGGUGUAAGGUCAAAGGUCACUCUCAGGCACCUGGAACUGAUAAGGAUCUGAACGAUCUUGCAGACUCUCUUGCCAAACAAGGUGCAACUGAUGGUACCCGAUGGUCCUUCAACCCCUUGUGGCUCCCUGACGAUGUGUCUUCUCGGUCAGACCCACCCCUCGUGUGUGUCGUGACCUGA